ACCUGCCCAGUGACCUUUAAAUAAUAAAAUAAAAUUUUUUAAAGAAGGUUAAAAGGACGCGGUAACCUUGACCGUGGUAAUGUAGCAUAAUCACUCGCCAUUUAAUUGGUGGAUAGUAUGAAUGGUUGAACGAAUAUUCCACUGUCUUAGAAAGAAUUAAUAAAAAUUGAAAUAAUAGUUAAGAUGCUAUUUUAAACUGUAAGACGAAAAGACCCUAUAGAGCUUAACUAUAAUCUCUAUUUAACUCACGGAGAAAUAACUCCUUAAUAAUAGAGAUUGGUAGUUUAGUUGGGGCGACUGUCUUUUAAAUUUAACAAAGACAAGCAAUGUUAAUAAAGAAUUUAUUGUAUAACCGAAAAGUUUAACAAUUAUGAGUAUAGGCUAUAAUGACCCGUUAGAACAUUAUAAAAUGUCUAACGAUCAAUUAAUAAAAGCUACCUUAGGGAUAACAGGAUAAUUUUAUUUUAGAGUCCCCAUCGAAAAUGAAGUUUGUCACCUCUAUGUUGAAUUAAGAUAUCCUGAUAAUGCAGAAGUUAUCAAAGGUAGGUC
rnacentral:rRNA from 1 species